rnacentral:rRNA from 1 species
GUGGAUUAGAUACCCUGGUAGUCCUGGCAGUAAACGGUGCGCGUUUGGUGUGGGAGGAAUCGACCCCUUCCGUGCCGGAGCUAACGCGUUAAACGCGCCGCCUGGGGAGUACGGUCGCAAGAUUAAAACUCAAAGAAAUUGACGGGGGCCCGCACAAGCGGUGGAGUAUGUGGCUUAAUUCGAUGCAACGCGAAGAACCUUACCUAGGCUUGACAUGCAUCUCUAAGUCGGUGAAAGCCGGCGAGUACCGCAAGGUACAAUUUGCACAGGUGCUGCACGGCCGUCGUCAACU